GCCUGGGUGGCUCAGUCGGUUGAGCGUCCGACUUCAGCUCAGGUCACGAUCUCACGGUUCGUGAGUUCGAGCCCCGCGUCAGGCU
rfam:Felis catus isolate Cinnamon breed Abyssinian chromosome B3, whole genome shotgun sequence.